UGGGGAAUUUUGGACAAUGGGCGAAAGCCUGAUCCAGCAAUGCCGCGUGUGUGAAGAAGGCCUUCGGGUUGUAAAGCACUUUUGUCCGGAAAGAAAUCCUUGGCUCUAAUACAGUCGGGGGAUGACGGUACCGGAAGAAUAAGCACCGGCUAACUACGUGCCAGCAGCCGCGGUAAUACGUAGGGUGCAAGCGUUAAUCGGAAUUACUGGGCGUAAAGCGUGCGCAGGCGGUUUGCUAAGACCGAUGUGAAAUCCCCGGGCUCAACCUGGGAACUGCAUUGGUGACUGGCAGGCUAGAGUAUGGCAGAGGGGGGUAGAAUUCCACGUGUAGCAGUGAAAUGCGUAGAGAUGUGGAGGAAUACCGAUGGCGAAGGCAGCCCCCUGGGCCAAUACUGACGCUCAUGCACGAAAGCGUGGGGAGCAAACAGGAUUAGAUACCCUGGUAGUCCACGCCCUAAACGAUGUCAACUAGUUGUUGGGGAUUCAUUUCCUUAGUAACGUAGCUAACGCGUGAAGUUGACCGCCUGGGGAGUACGGUCGCAAGAUUAAAACUCAAGGAAUUGACGAGGUCAUAGCUGUUUCCU
rnacentral:rRNA from 1 species